rnacentral:rRNA from 1 species
UAGGCCUCAGCUCAGGCAAGACUACCUGCUGAACUUAAGCAUAUCAGUAAGCAGAGGAAAAGAAAACAACUGUGAUUCCCUUAGUAACUGCGAGUGAAGCGGGACAAGCCCAUCGUUUAAUCUUCCCGGACUAUGGUCGGGACGACGUGUAACGGUAUGGAUAGGCUCUCUAUCAACGACGUCUGGUCAAAGUCCUCCGGAUUGAGGUGCCAGAGAGGGUGACAGCCCCGUGUGUGACUGGACCGAGUUGAGUACGUGGCCGAUUCCGAGAGUCGGGUUGUUUGGGACUGCAACCUAAAGCAGGUGGUAAACUCCACCCAAGGCUAAAUAUGGACACGAAUCCGAUAGCGAACAAGUACUGUGAAGGAAAGUUGAAAAGAACUCUGAAAAGAGAGUUAAAAGUACGUGAAACCGCUAACGGGGAAGCGGAAGGCAGUGUCGAGAUUGAGUGGGUGAGUCGUUUCUAAAUGUUCACGGACUAUACRGUGUAAUGARCGUUUGGAUCGGCUAGCUCCGCUCGAUGCGUCAGGACUAUUGGUGUGCGAUGGCUCAAUUGUCGGCUCGGCCGUCGCGAAACUACCUCAWGCGAUUGGGGCAGCUCGCGGCGGCGACCGGCAAUCCGCCUCGUGCGCUGAUAUGGAUAAGGAGAGGCGCUGGUGAUGUAGUGUCGGUUGGUGUUGUGUGGUGCUCCACGUAGUCACAGUGUGGCUACGCACGGAGAAGCCAUGGGAUUGUUCAACAACCAGCGCCAGCUCCUGACGUGAUACCUAACCUUCCGACCCGUCUUGAAACACGGACCAAGGAGGCAGAAUCUAGAGCGAGUUGGAGGGUGACAAACCCGACGGCGCAGUGAAAGCGAGAGAUGAGACCCCGGAGCCUCGGCGAUGGGGGCAUCAUCGGCCAGUCGUCUUGGGGCGAUUGAGUUUGAGCUGUAGAUGCUGGACCCGAAAGAUGGUGAACUAUGCGUGAGCAGGGCGAAGCCAGAGGAAACUCUGGUGGAGGCUCGAAGCGAUUCUGACGUGCAAAUCGAUCGUUUGACUUGCGUAUAGGGGCGAUAGACUAAUCGAACCAUCUAGUAGCUGGUUCCCUUCGAAAUAUCCCUCAGGAUCGCUGAGACAAGCGGGAGACAGUUUCAUCGGGUAGAGCGAAUGAUUAGAGGAAUCGGGGAUAUAUUACUCUCGACCUAUUCUCAAACUUCCAACCGGUGAGGGCGUCGUUUACUCGGUGUUGUGAAAUGGCGCGGUGAAUGUCUUUGUCUCAAGUGGGCCAUUUUUGGUAAGCAGAACUGGCGAUGCGGGAUGAACCGAGAGUUGAGCUAAGGUGCCUAAGGACACGUUGAUAGAUACCACAAAAGGAGUCGGUCGAUAAAGACAGCAGGGCGGUGGCCCUGAAAGUAGGAAUCCGCUAAGGAAUUGUCUAAAAACUCACCUGCCGAAUCGACCGGCCCUGAAAAUGGAUGGCGCUGAAGCGUGUCACCGAUGCUCGACCUCUACCACGAGAGAUGUUGGUAGGGGGUAGAAGGGCGCGGCGGUAGCGACAAAGUACAAAGUGCAAACUUGUAUGGAGCUGCCGUCGGUGUAGAUCUUGGUGGUAGUAGCAAUUAUAAAAGUGAAAACCUUUUAGGCCGAAGUGGAGAAGGGUUCCACGUGAACAGCAGUUGGACGUGGGUUAGUCGGUCCUAAGCGGUUGCCUAACGGUAAUUCCAAAGCCAACGUGUGGCGCUUCGGCGCGACUGUUGGAAUCCGCGAAAGGGAAUCAGGUUAAUAUUCCUGAACCGGGCACUGGAGACGCUGCCUCUGUUCCGGGUGCGUGUGAAAGCGCGCCUGGGAGGGGGUAGCUUAGCGGCAACGCAAGCAAUCUCGGAGACGUUGACAUCCAUGGCGGAGAGAAUUAUCUUUUCUGUAUAACAGGUGACCYACCUUGGAAUCGAGUCAUUCGGAGAUGAGGUAAAAAGCCUGGAAGAGCACCGCAACUAUUGCGGUGUCCGCAGUGUGGGUGUCGGCCCUUGAAAAUCCGAGGGAGUGGAUAAAUUUCAUGCCCGUCCGUACCGAAUCCGCAUCAGGUCUCCUAGGUGAGCAGCCUCUGGCACUGGAACAAUGUAGGUAAGGGAAGUCGGCAAAAUAGAUCCGUAACUUUGGGAAAAGGAUUGGCUCUAAGGGCCGGGUCGGUCGAGCUAGUAUUGCCUAGGUUGGUGGGCGCGUGACUGUGUUUGUGUCGGGCUUGCAAAAGUCGGUGCGAGCUUGGUCGGGCGAACGCUGGCCAUGGAAUGCCGGCGUGGGUUUCGGUCGGCUUGCGGGCGCGGUCGGUUUCARGACUGGUCGCGYGCAAGAGUCGGUGGGGCCCUUUACGAUUGGCAAACAUCGGCCAACUUAGAACUGUUACCAACUUGGGGAAUCCGACUGUUUAAUUAAAACAAAGCAUUGCGAUGGCCGGAAACGGUGUUGACGCAAUGUGAUUUCUGCCCAGUGCUCUGAAUGUUAAAGUGCGGAAACGCAACCAAGCACGGGUAAACGGCGGGAGUAACUAUGACUCUGUGAAGGUAGCCAAAUGCCUCGUCAUCUAAUUAGUGACGCGCAUGAAUGGAUCAACGAGAUUCCCACUGUCCCUACCUACCAUCCAGCGAAACCACAGUCAAGGGAACGGGCUUGACUGAGACAGCGGGGAAAGAAGACCCUGUUGAGCUUGACUCUAGUUUGAUUUUGUGAGAAGACAUCAGGGGUGUAGCAUAGGUGGGAGAGUGCGCUGCUCAUGCGGCGUGCUCGGCAGUGAAAUACCACUACCUUGAUCGUUUUCACACUAAGUCGGUUGCACGGGAAAUACUUGUCCCCUUUCACAGGGGGCAGGUGGAUUCGUUGCUAUAAGACAGACCGAUCUGUUGACCCAUCGCCGAUGACAGAAUCAGAUG